AAUAAAUUAAACAAAUAAUACUGGGGUCAACAAAGAAAAGUUUCAAUGACUGCAUUUCAAAGGACUGCUCCAAAUCGGAUACUUUGGGUCUUCGAUCUUCACAUCAGUGCACCAAAUUCACAAAUCAGGGCUCCGAAGUGCUCCACUACAUCUCAAAAUUAACAAAAACUUUGCACCAGGGCCGACUGCAUCUCAAAUCGGUGCUCCGAUCAACUGUUCUGAUCGACUACUCCUACUAUCGCCCCGACCACAGUGCUCCGAUCGACUACUACUCCGACUAUGAGUGCUCCGACUUCUUUAUAUUGAACCCUAGCCGUCUAUUGAAACAGGUUAGCUCCCAAGGAUCGUGCAUAAAGAUGAUGCCUGCAGGUGGUGGAUUGUGUUGGCAGUCAUACAAUGAAGAAACACCAACUGCUGGUGACAGACACUUACGGCUAACGGACUAUGGGAACAGAAAAACGUCACCAGAGAUUCAUCAGACUAUCUGUGGUACAUGACAGAUGUAAAUAUAUUAUCAAAUGAAGGAUUUCUAAAGAACGGAAAGGACCCUUAUCUCACUGUUAUGUCGGCUGGUCAUGUCUUGCAUGUUUUCGUCAAUGGAAAACUAGCAGGAACUGUAUAUGGGGCAUUGGAUAAUCCAAAACUUACACACAGUGGCAAUGUGAAGCUACAAAACUUACACACAGUGGCAAUGUGAAGCUAAGAGCUGGUAUAAACAAGAUUUCUCUUCUCAGUGUUUCCGUUGGUCUCCCGAACGUUGGCGUACAUUAUGAUACGUGGAAUGUAGGAGUUCUGGGUCCAGUCACGUUGAGCGGUCUCAAUGAGGGGUCAAGAGACUUGGCAAAACAAAAAUGGUCCUACAAGGUUGGUCUAAAAGGAGAUUCGCUAAGUCUUCACACCUUAAGUGGCAGUUCUUCUGUUGAAUGGGUUCAAGGUUCACUUGUGGCUCAAAAACAUCCCCUGACUUGGUACAAGGCAACAUUUAACUCGCCUGGACGAUUCAACGAGAAGAAAUGUCAGACUAACUGUGGACAGCCUUCUCAAAGAUGGUAAUCGAUAUCCAUAAUUCGUACAACACUUAGUGAAGUUAGUACUAGAUCAACUUUUCAUGGAGAAUUUUACACGACAACUCAAUCCGAUGUUCCAUACUCAAGACUUCGCGAAACUGGUAAUGUCAAGCAUCAUGUCCCGCGAUCGUGGCUGAAACCAAGUGGAAACCUGUUGGUAGUAUUUGAAGAAUGGGGUGGUGAUCCAAUAGGAAUUUCUUUAGUAAGAAGAUCAAGAUAAAGAGCUUGAAAAGGUUCAAGUGUGUUAUGUUGAAUGUUCUUCUCUGUCUUUUGCUCAAACUGCUGACUUCUUGGAGGUAUGCAAUUGUUCAGGACAUGACUGUUGCUGGUCUUGGUCUGAAUAAAUUCUGUUAUGCUAGGCUUAUAGCGGCUCACAAGAAUAAGGAACCUGUCACGGAUGAUAUAGCUUCCGAGAUUAUUGAGCUAGUUGAGCAAUCCAACGGUUGGUCAGCAGUUGAAGCACUUAGUGACAUUCCUGUAAGAUCCAUGAUUGGUGUGACUGAAGAAGAACUUUACAAUCUCCCAAUUACUGAGUAUAUUUUUCGGCUUGGUGGAUUUUUAAAUAGGGAAGUGAUAGUUUAUCAUGUUGCAUUUCAUGCCUGUGCUGACCUAAAAAAUGUGGAGGUGUCCAAAAUCAUGAAGGAGAUGAAGAAAGAAGUGAUGAAGAAAUUGACAACAUUUUUGAAUUGUUGAUAGAGGCUUUAAUAUCGAUCUUUUUGAUUUUGAAUUUUGUGAAACUUAUCGCCACUUGAAUUUGAUACUAUGUGGGAAAACUAAGGAUCAUUUGACUUCAACAUUUUUCUUUUGGGUUUAGAUUACUAGUUUGUUGUAUAUUUUAAUUUGGAUUAUUAUUAAUGAAAGAUUUUGUUGUGGUGUGUA